CUGCUCUCAAACUCAUGGCUCUGCGGACAUGCCAGCAUGGUGUUCAGUUCACAUUUUGCCUGAGGUGUUACAGCCAUGUGGAUUCACUUGAACAACAGGAAAGCCAAGCCGAUUCCCAAAGGAUUCCAGAAAUGACUUUUGGAAGCACAUUUUAAAAAUUCCCAAAUGGAUGUGCCUGGAGUAAGAAAAGCCUGCAAACAAGUAUAUCCACCUUCACAGUGAAAAUCUCUCCUAUCUCAAUCGCAUUCUUUUAGGGUUGGUGUUUCCAAGUGUCGGGUCACCAGGCAACGUAAUAGAAGAUCCGCUGUCAUUCCAGCUGAAUGAAAGUUUUUCAGAGUUUGGAGUUGGUUGAGAGAUUCUCACGUCAACCCACCUUCCCUCAAAAUAUAGGAAAAGUGGAUUCCACCAGAAUCAACAUGAAUAGAAUGAGCCGAGAGUAAUCCAGGCAGUCC
rnacentral:lncRNA from 10 species